GACCCCCCUCAGUGCCGCCCUGAUGAUUGCACCUGCUGGGUGCACCUGUUGAUGUGUGCAGCUGUGGGAGACUCAGCAACACUCCACUGCCUCCUUCUCCCCCCAAGGAUUCAGCCCCAGGUCCUAAAGCUGCCUCUGCACCCCCUGCCCAAGCUCUUGGCAGCUCUUGAUGGUUGUGGCUGAGGUAGGGGGUUCGUUUGGCUUCCCGCCAUUUCCUGAUUGCAACAAAAUGGCGGCAGAGUGCCCUGUGCUUCAGCUCCCUCAGCAGCUCCUGCCCCAGAGAGGAGCUUCCUGGGAAACCUUCUCCGGCCUUUGCAGUCUGGAGGACCCAAUUCUUCAUUUUUGUUGUAGAAGCACACUGCAAUUCAUCAAACACAGAAGGGUGGUGGAAACAAGAUACGGCCCAGUCAUCUCCCUCAAGUAAGUCAUUCCCUGAUCAUGACAGGCACGAGCCAACACUCUGCGUCUACGUUCUCAUUGUUUGCAGUGAAUUUGGAGCCUGACACUAAGGAUGAAAGCCUUUGUCAGCUGUACAGAUGGGGAAGCCAAGGCAUGCUGGAAUUGUUUGCUGAAGAUCUCGAUGAGUUAGACCAGAACAGAAGUUGCACCCCCAAAUGCUUCCUCCAACUGCUGAUACCUAUAGCUCUUUGUAAUGGUUUGGAUAGGCAUGUGACCAUUUAUGAUCCACCAUUGGUAUAAGCAUUAAUCUCAGUGAUUGAAAUUCAAUAUUUUAGUCCUCGUUAUGCCUUUGGCAGGCUGUGUGUCACGUGACAGAGCACUUCACUUCUACAGAAAUCAUUUUUUUCUAUCUGUUAUAAGCUGCAGUUAAUAAUGGUUACCCAGUGUCAUGACACGUUUGAAUUAGAAAAAAUCUGAAACAAAUGCCAGGUGGUAUUACUAAUUGUUAGGCUUUUAUUUUAAUUAUUGCAUGGAUAUUCGUAGAAAGUACUUCAAGCUAAGAGAAAAAAGCACUUCUGUUAGCAGAAUAAAGCAAAUGGGAAAAGGUUCAUUGGAAUUUGACAGAUUAAAGGUGCAUUGCUAAAAUGGUGUGGUAGCCAACUAUUACAGCUUAGAAUGUUUAUGUAUAAGUAUAUAAAUGACAAUGUUUCAGAAACCUUGAAUUUUAUAUAAUCUACCUAUGAUCUUCCAUUCAGAUGAAAAUGAAGACUAAGGCAGGAAAAAAUACAGAUUGAUUGUACCUUUUUUCCUAGAUUUCAUUCUGUCUUCAGGAAAACUGAGUCAAUGGCAAGAACUACAAAAACAGUUGCAUGCUAUCAGUUAUAUCAUAUAAUAUUGAAGAGAUUAGAGAACAGACAAAAAUGAUUCCUUGCUGAAGGAUAAAUUCUCUUGAUCUGCCAAGACUGUGCUUCAUCUGCUUUCUAGCCUUAGGAAUUGACUCCUAAUAGGUGAAAAAUAUAUUGUUCUAUUUUUUAAGCCUGUUUCUACAUGAUCAGCUGAAUCCUAUUUGUGAACUACUGUAUUAGUAAUUAAACUGAUCAUCAUACUAACACAUAGGAGGUUAGGAUCUGGGAGCAAGACUGGGAUAUUCAGGUCAGUUCAGUAGCAUGAUAGGAUCUACACAAUGAGAAUCAGGGUCCUAUUUAUAAGUACCUAACCAUUCUGGGACUGAAGUGAUUCAGUUGUUUUCUGAAAGAAAACUGAAAGAAAAAGCUUGUGCAUAAGUCAGUUAACUCAGGGAAAUUUGCAUCCCAAAAUCUCCUUGGCUCAUAGGUCUACUCUUGGUCUUUUAAAAGUACUGCAUAAAGCAAAUAAGUGACAUGCUUCUCCUAUAGUACACUGAAAAGCUGAAAAUCAUAUUCACUUAUACUUAAGAGGCAAUUUGUUGCAACAAAGAAGGAAAUUGUAGUGAUACUCUUUCUGAGCAGUUUCUGGGGUGGAAAAAAGGCUUUUCCAACUUUUCUAGAGAAAUUUGCCCCUUUCUUCAUUGCUCAGUACUUUUGUGUGUACCAAAGAAGAGGAUUCCAUGGCUUCUGAUAUCAGUUUCAUCAGAGCAAGUUGUUCAGAAUGAGAGAGGAGACUGUCAGUGGACUUACUCGCUUUCUUCAGUGAGGAUAAACAGAAGUGAACCCUUGACAGUAAUUUGAGAGUGGUGGUUAAUGUCUCUGAGAUGGUAUGAGGCUGACCUACCAAUGCUGUAAUUGUGUGACUCUGACUUGUUUCUGGAUUAUUUUCUAAAUGUCAUUAAAGCAUUACUGGGGCUUCUUGUGCCUACAUUCUGCUGGAAGCUUCUGUGAGAUGCUUCCUUAGUGAAAGUUUGAAGCUUCUUACCUAUUCUGCUAUUGUCUAGAGUGCUGAUUGUGUUCACCUGAGACGUUCACUGAGCAGAUGAGUGAAUUCUCAGAAAAGAGGAGGACUCAAUGCUUCAGUGAGAGCAGCAUUUCAUUGCAAGGGGAAUGAGAGAAAGAUAGUCCAAAAGAGAGGAAAAGGGAGAGCAGGCAAAACAGUCAAACGGGAGACCUUUCAAUAGUAAGGUCUCACUGAGCUUUGACGACAAAGACGGGGCUCUGCUGAACACGUAGAAUUUCAGACAGGGACCUGAACUGAUAAGACCCUGCUUGCAGCUCUAACUUAUCCAGUCUUAAUUUCCUCGGAGACAGCUAGCAAGAUAGAAAUGUAUCUGCAGCAAUGACAGCAGUGAUCUGUGGUGUUUGGUGCCAGGAUCCCAGUACUAUCGAGGUCAAUGUUUGCAUGAGGUUAUCCAUCCCAUAAAUUCAAAUUUUCUGGAGGGAGCUUUAACUUGCAUGUUUGUCUUUUAUACAUAUGUAUAAGUAAUAUGUAUAUACAUUCACCAAAACAUGCAUACAUACAUAUGUGUAUUCCAUUUUAGUGUUUCUGGACAUAGCAUCUUCCAUUGCUGAUGUGUCUAUUUUCUUCCCUUCACUUCUUUGCACCAUUCCCUCAGAAGGCACCUUUGGGACUGCGUUCACCUUGCUCUCAGAACAGCAGAACUGUGCUCAUGUUGCCGUUUCUUGUGCUUGGAGAGAAGUCUGGUGGACAAGUUUUACUUGACACAGAGACAGUCUCCUAUGAUGCACUGUGUAUGCUUUGAAUGACAUGUUGUCUCUCUGGUUGGAGGAAAUAUGUGAUAAAAUAUAGCAGUAGUGAGAAAAUGGUCCAAGAGCAGCGCAUUCUGAAACAACCUCCUCUCCCCUUUUUAAAAAUUGCCUUUAGUGUGGUUGACGGUAGUAUUUCAAAGGCAGCAGUUGAUAGCAAAUGGGAAGAAAAGCAACAGUGAAUUAAAGAAGAUUUGAAGAGAUAAAAAUGGUAAUUUAUAGGUGAGAAAGUCUGAUUAGAGAUGUUGUUACUUUUUAGUUAAUGAAAUGACCUAUCUAGUCAAAUUGGAUAAUUCUCGUAGUGAGAUAUUUUUUCUUUAUUACCAGAUUAGCGGAACCUCUCUCUUUCCUCAGUGAAAAUGAAAUGGCAAUUUUAGCAUUCUUAAUUGGUUUGGUUCUUUUCCACAGUAGCAAGUGAACUGAGAAAAUACUGCUUAUGAACAGGUUAUGAACUUAAGUCUAAAAUCCAUGCACUGUCUGCAUCAAAUAAAAAAGUGGCUAAUGAAACAGUCUUCAGUUUCUAAUUUCACAGAGAGCUGAUGUUGCUUUAAGGUGUAGUUCCUGCAUAGAAUGCAUGCAGUGAAUGAAUAUUAGUAAUGAGAAGCAGAGUUAAUUUGUGGUUGAAUGGUGUGUCUGUACUCAGAGUGACAGAAUGUGUAGCCAAAGCUAUAUAUUAUACCAAAUUCCACUGAAAGCAGUAGUAGAAGUGUAGGAAAAUGUUAAAAGGACCUCUUUUUGUUCCCAGACAAAUCUGCAGGUGAAUUAGAGAUAAUGUAUAGAAUGCUUGCAGUGAUUCAUAACCAAGUUAUGCACUCUAGAAUAGGGAGUAUUAACAGUAAAUUUUUAAUACGGUGACUUAAUGCAUGCUGGAAGAGGGUGAAUUAAGCAAAUUAAACUGUAGGUGCCAAAUGGAUAUUAUUUAAGAACAGCAAAGUUUGCCUGAAAUUGAACCAAAAUGAAAACCCACAAGAUGUUUGGAGUCCAACUGUUCCUCCUGGUGACAUGUACAGGUGCCUCUAGUUGGACUCCUGUAAGUUUCCUUCUGGUUCUCAGUGCAUGUAGCUCAUUUCUCUGAUGUUUUCCAAAAUUCAUAGCAGAAAUGAUCUCCUCCAUCAUCUGGAGUGCUUUGCUCCUCAUGCAAUUUUUUUCUUUUGCAGCCAGUACUGAAGUUAAUUCCCCGUAUUUCUCCUGUUACCCUCUACCAUCUCUGCCUCUCUGUUACAACACUUAAAAAUUCAUGUGAAAGUCUGAUAUCUUUGUCCAUUUUUUUUCUCUUUUCCAACCCCACGCAUUCCUUAUUACAUUCCUUUAAGCAGAUCAGUCAUCUCAUCAAAAAACAGGAGAUUUCUAGCAGUUGUUUCUCCUUAUAUUUCUAUCUUGCAAAUGAUUAAAACUACACUCAGAUGUAUAAAGUAACUAUGGGAUUUCUGGAGCACAGCGUGUAUUUGGUACCUUUUUGUCAGACAAUGCUCUUUGGGUCAAAACUUGUUUCCUUGAAAGGAAGAUGUUUGAAAUUGGAAUGCUUUGGUUACAUAAUGUCUGCUCCCAGUGGUUUGUCCUCAAAACUACUCAGUUCAGUGCUGUGUGACAGUUCUUCACUAGCUCAGGUUGCAGGGAACUAUAUUGGUGAUUCUGAAAAAUGAAUUCAAUUUCUGUCAACAGAAGGAAUAAAUGUGCAUCUGUGCAGGUAGACAUGGAUUACUGCAUUGUCACAAGCCAUUAUGGGAAUGUAGAUAUGGUAAACUUGAGAGAGAGAGCUGUCAUCAUGAACUGGUAGAGAGUAAGUAGUCACACAACCACCUAUUGUCUGCAGUGCUCUGACAGGCUGGCACAUUUUGUUUGUGGAAUAAAACUACACUUCUCUAACCUCCACUGCACUACUCUAACCUCAAAAUGCUGAUAGGCCAGCUGUGAAGGUAGAUUGUUUCCUUCCUAGCAGUAGUGUCAGCUACGUAUUCUGGAUUCCUCCUACACUCUGGCAGUAAGACUCAGCUUUGUUGUAUUUUAUCCUCUUUUGUUUUGAUAUAAAAAGAAUAGAUGGAUACUGCUACUUAUUCUGAAAUAUGUCCAUAGCAAUGUUAAAGGUUAUUAAUUCCAUCUUGUUGCUUAAAAUACCCAUAUAGCCAUGGGAAGUGGAAAGAAAGCACCACUUGAAUCAAUCCAAUUUUUGUUUUUGUAAAUGGAUUUGUUUUUCUUCCUAUGAUUUGGUGCAGGUGUUGUCAAGAUAUCUGAUUUAUGGAUUUUAGUAACCCAGGGACAGCUCAUCACUUUCCUAAUUUAAACAGCUAAGAAAAAGUUGACCUGUCUACUAAAAAGUGUUUUUUUCCUUUUGGCAUGAAUUCCAGAAAGAAAGCGCUGCAGCUUUCCUAGGGACUGGCUGAUGAAAUGUUCUGCACGGUAUAGUAAUAAAUAUAGCAAAGGAGAAAAGAAAAGGAAAGCACACAUCCCUUAAAAUACAAUUGUUCUUACCUUUCAUUCUGAGUCUCUUUUGGCCAUAUAUAUGAGUGAAGCCAUCCCAAAUCCAUUCCUGUAAAGCUAAUGUAAUUAAUUGAUGUAAUAACGACCCUUAUCUAGAUACUGGUUCUGUAAU